AUGGCGGAGGGUGUUGUUGGGCUGGUGGUGGCGACGCUCGGCGCGGCGCUAGCGACAGAGGCGGCGUCCUUCGGCUGGUCGCUGGUCGCCAAAGAAGCCGCUGCCCUCAGGGACGUCUUCGGCAAGAUCCGCCGGUCCAAGGCGGAGCUGGAGAGCAUGCAGGCCUACCUGCACGAGGCGGAGCUGUUCAAGGACACCGACAUGACCACCGCCGUCUUCGUCGGCGAGAUCAGGCGCCUCGCCUUCCAGAUGGAGGACGUCGCCGACGAGUUCACCUACAAGCUGGAGGACUGCAAGCAUGGAGGGUUCGCCGGCAAGACCAGGAAGCGGCUCAAGCAUAUCAAGGCCUGGUACCGCCUGGCAGCGAAGUUCCAAGAAAUCGAAGCCAAGCUGGAAGAUGCCAAUCGGAGGAAGAAGUAUUACACCAUCAGACCUUCACCUGCUGCCAAAUCGACGAGUCAAGGUAAGGGUCUACACUUCACCAGAGAUGAGGAUCUUGUGGGGAUCGAGGAGAACAAGGGAAAGUUGGUGAAGUGGCUGACCCCUGGCGCCGGUGGUGAUGGCGAUGAUUUGGAGCAGAGCAGCAGCAAAGUCACCACGGUGUGGGGGAUGCCUGGUGUUGGUAAAACCACUCUCGCUGCUCAUGUGUACAGAACCGUCAAGUUGGAUUUUGAUGCCACGGCAUGGGUAACCGUGUCAGAGAGUUACUGUCUUGAAGACCUGCUGAAGAAGAUUGCCACUGCGUUCGACGUCGAAGUCGAUGUUGCCAAUGUUGAGAUGAGAGGCCUAGCAGAGUCCAUCCAUGACCACCUUCAAGGUAAAAAGUACAUCUUGGUCCUGGAUGAUGUUUGGACUCCGCUUGUGUGGUCAGAGAUAAGGAAUGUCUUCCCAACUUCAAACUGCAUAGGCCGAUUUGUUAUUACGUCAAGAAAGUAUGAAGUGUCACGCUUGGCAACUAGGGAGCAUGCAAUUCACUUGCAACCUCUAAAAGCACGUAACUCCUGGGUGUUGUUCUGCAAAGGAGCUUUUUGGAAUGAUGUUGACCAACGGUGUCCACCGGAGUUGCAAGAAUUGGCUUCAAAGUUCAUAGCAAAGUGUCAAGGCUUGCCUAUUGCUAUUUCAUGCAUUGGUCGCCUACUCUCCUGCAAACCCCAAACUCCCGCCGAAUGGGAGAACGUGUAUAGGGGUUUGGAUUCGCAGUUGGCAAAAGAUGUGAUGCCUGAUGCUCAUAUGAUCCUAAAGGUCAGCUUGGAGGACCUUCCGUAUGAUUUGAAGAAUUGUUUCUUACAUUGUGCACUAUCCCCAGAAGAUUAUGUAUUACAGAGGAGGAAGACAAUGAGGCAGUGGAUUGCGGCAGGAUUUAUCAGGGAAACAGAUGAGAGCAAAACAUUGGAGGAAGUGGCAGAGGGAUACUUGGUUGAGCUUGUGAACCGAAGCCUAUUACAGGUAGUGGAAAGGAAUUAUGCUGGAAGACUGAAAUGGUGUCGGAUGCACGAUGUCAUACGCCUUCUUGCCCUCAACAAAGCCAAGGAGGAAUGCUUUGGUAAAGUUUAUAAUGGCUCUGGUGGUACUAGGGCAUUCUCUGUAGAGGGUGCACGUCGCAUAUCGGUUCUUGGGGGGAACAUUGAACAACUGAGCCUAUCUGGUACAACACAACUUCGUGCGCUCCAUGUAUUUGAGAAGUAUAUCAAUGUUGAUUUGCUGAAGCCUAUCCUAACAUCUUCGAACCUACUGUCGACAUUGGAUCUGCAAGGUACCCGUAUCAAAAUGUUGCCUGAUGAGGUAUUCGACUUGUUUAAUCUGCGUUAUUUGGGCAUUAGAGAUACCGAGAUCGAAAGCCUACCUGAAGCAGUGGGGAGGUUACAAAACUUGGAAGUUUUGGAUGCUUUUGAAUCUAAGCUGAUGUAUUUGCCAAACAAUGUUGUGAAGCUUCGGAAGUUGAGGUACCUGUAUGCGUGCCCUCCUAGCACAUCAGAAGCUGUAAAUGUAGGCGGAGUCAAGGUGCCUAAUGGGAUGCAACACUUGACAGGACUGCAGGCUCUUCAGUUCGUCGAUGCCAGUCUAGAGUUUCUGCGUGAAGUUGGAGAUCUGACAGAGCUGAGAACAUUCGGUGUCUGCAACGUGAGAAGUGAACACUCUGCUGACUUGAGCAAUGCUAUCACCAGAAUGAGCCAUCUUUUUCAUCUCGAAAUUUGUGCUGCAGCUGAGAAUGAGGUGCUACGGCUGGAAGGGCUACAUUUACCUCCUACCCUUUCUUGGCUUGGUUUAACAGGGCAGCUAGAAAAAACAACGAUGCCUCAGCUUUUCUCUUCUUGGUCACACCUUGAUAGCCUCACUCGGUUAUACCUGGCAUUCUCCAGUAUUGAUGAGCAAACCUUUUCCGGUCUGUGUGUGUUACGGGGUCUACGCUUUCUUGCGCUAAGGGAGGCUUUUGGAGGGAGGAGAUUGAAUUUUUACGCAGAGUCAUUUCCAAAGCUUACGCGUCUAUGGAUACGGGGCACACCACAACUCCACCAAGUGGUUAUAGAGGAGGGUGCGAUGCCAAACCUCGUCGAGCUAUCGCUUAGAGACUGUCCCAAGCUAAAAUUUCUUCCUAAUGGCAUGGAACACCUUGCGGCCCUUGACAAAUUAAAUCUGGAAGACACAUUGGAAGAGCUGAUACAGAAACUCAGGCAAAAGAGAGAUUCAAAUGAAUGCAGCAAAGAUGUAAUGAAGAUUAGCCACAUAAGGAAUGUUAGAGUUAUACGGAGCCAGAAUGGACUUCUUGAAAGGAUUAGGUGA
rnacentral:rRNA from 1 species